CAGUAGCCACGGGAAAACGUAGGUGGCAAGCGUUGUCCGGAAUUAUUGGGCGUAGAGCGCGCGCAGGCGGAUAGGUCAGUCUGUCUUAAAAGUUCGGGGCUUAACCCCGUGAUGGGAUGGAAACUGCCAAUCUAGAGCAUCGGAGAGGAAAGUGGAAUUCCUAGUGUAGCGGUGAAAUGCGUAGAUAUUAGGAAGAACACCAGUGGCGAAGGCGACUUUCUGGACGAAAACUGACGCUGAGGCGCGAAAGCCAGGGGAGCGAACGGGAUUAGAUACCCCCGUAGUCCCUGUCUCUUAUACA
rnacentral:rRNA from 1 species